ACAUCCAGCGAACUUGGCAGAGAUGCCUUGGUGCCUUCGGGAACGCUGAGACAGGUGCUGCAUGGCUGUCGUCAGCUCGUGUUGUGAAAUGUUGGGUUAAGUCCCGCAACGAGCGCAACCCUUAUCCUUUGUUGCCAGCGAUUCGGUCGGAACUCAAAGGAGACUGCCGGUGAUAAACCGGAGGAAGGUGGGGAUGACGUCAAGUCAUCAUGGCCCUUACGAGUAGGGCUACACACGUGCUACAAUGGCGCAUACAAAGAGAAGCGACCUCGCGAGAGCAAGCGGACCUCAUAAAGUGCGUCGUAGUCCGGAUCGGAGUCUGCAACUCGACUCCGUGAAGUCGGAAUCGCUAGUAAUCGUGGAUCAGAAUGCCACGGUGAAUACGUUCCCGGGCCUUGUACACACCGCCCGUCACACCAUGGGAGUGGGUUGCAAAAGAAGUAGGUAGCUUAACCUUCGGGAGGGCGCUUACCACUUUGUGAUUCAUGACUGGGGUGAAGUCGUAACAAGGUAAGCGUAGCGAG
rnacentral:rRNA from 1 species